GGAGAGCUGUCUGAGUGGCUGAAGGAGCUCGCCUGGAAAGUGAGUAUAGGGUUAAACCUAUCGGGGGUUCGAAUCCCCCGCUCUCCGCCA
rnacentral:tRNA from 1 species